rnacentral:rRNA from 1 species
UACGUAGGGUGCGAGCGUUGUCCGGAAUUAUUGGGCGUAAAGGGCUCGUAGGCGGUCUGUUGCGUCGGGAGUGAAAACUCAGGGCUUAACCCUGAGCCUGCUUCCGAUACGGGCAGACUAGAGGUAUGCAGGGAGAACGGAAUUCCAGGUGUAGCGGUGAAAUGCGUAGAUAUCUGGAGGAACACCGGUGGCGAAGGCGGCGAGCUCGUCGAUACC